AUCUGUAGCAAUAUUUCUUAGUGUAUGUUGCCAUGUGCAAUUCCUCUCCAGAAAUAGCCGAUGCAGCAUCGGCAUGCGUCUUGCAUUUACCGUUGCACCUUGUGCUAUGUAGCAUUCGACUUUUCUUAAUGUUUUUGGCUUUCAGUGCUUGCAGAGCCGAUUUCAUUCCUAUAUUU
rnacentral:lncRNA from 1 species